rnacentral:rRNA from 1 species
GCAGUAGCCGCGGGAAUACGAAGGGGGCUAGCGUUGUUCGGAAUCACUGGGCGUAAAGGGUGCGUAGGCGGAUUCUUAAGUCAGGGGUGAAAUCCCGAGGCUCAACCUCGGAACUGCCUUUGAUACUGGGGAUCUUGAGUCCGGAAGAGGUGAGUGGAACUGCGAGUGUAGAGGUGAAAUUCGUAGAUAUUCGCAAGAACACUAGUGGCGAAGGCGGCUCACUGGUCCGGAACUGACGCUGAGGCACGACAGCGUGGGGAGCAAACAGGAUUAGAUACCCCCGUAGUCCCUGUCUCUUAUAC